CAACCAAAGCUGGCGACCGGCGCACGGGUGAGUAACACGUAUCCAACCUGCCUCAUACUCGGGGAUAGCCUUUCGAAAGAAAGAUUAAUAUCCGAUAGCAUAUAUUUCCCGCAUGGGUUUUAUAUUAAAGAAAUUCGGUAUGAGAUGGGGAUGCGUUCCAUUAGUUUGUUGGGGGGUAACGGCCCACCAAGACUACGAUGGAUAGGGGUCCUGAGAGGAAGGUCCCCCACAUUGGAACUGAGACACGGUCCAA
rnacentral:rRNA from 1 species